ACAUCCAGAGACUUAGCAGAGAUGCUUUGGUGCCUUCGGGAACUCUGAGACAGGUGCUGCAUGGCUGUCGUCAGCUCGUGUUGUGAAAUGUUGGGUUAAGUCCCGCAACGAGCGCAACCCUUAUCCUUUGUUGCCAGCGGCUCGGCCGGGAACUCAAAGGAGACUGCCGGUGAUAAACCGGAGGAAGGUGGGGAUGACGUCAAGUCAUCAUGGCCCUUACGGCCAGGGCUACACACGUGCUACAAUGGCGCAUACAAAGAGAAGCGACCUCGCGAGAGCAAGCGGACCCCACAAAGUGCGUCGUAGUCCGGAUUGGAGUCUGCAACUCGACUCCAUGAAGUCGGAAUCGCUAGUAAUCGUAGAUCAGAAUGCUACGGUGAAUACGUUCCCGGGCCUUGUACACACCGCCCGUCACACCAUGGGAGUGGGUUGCAAAAGAAGUAGGUAGCUUAACCUUCGGGAGGGCGCUUACCACUUUGUGAUUCAUGACUGGGGUGAAGUCGUAACAAGGUAAGCGUAGCGAG
rnacentral:rRNA from 1 species